rnacentral:rRNA from 1 species
AAGGGCACCACAAGAACGCGUGGAGCAUGUGGCUUAAUUUGACUCAACGCGGGAAAUCUUACCGGGUCCGGACACACUUAGGAUUGACAGGUGAAUGUGGUUAACUUAGGUUAGCCCUAUAAAUAUGCUAGUCCUUUCAUGAUUGUGUGAUAGGUGGUGCAUGGCCGUUCUUAGUUCGUGGAGUAAUCUGUCUGCUUAAUUGCGCCAUUCGAUGGGGCUUUGUCCAUAUGCAGUUCAUCGUUCUCUUCGCGAGAGCUUUGAUAUUGUGGGACGUAAAAAUGCCCUGAAGGCAACGAACGUGAUCGCAACCUUUAGUGCAAACUAGAGGGACCGCUGGCAUUCUAUAACCCAGAGGAAGGUUGCGGCAAUAACAGGUCUGUGAUGCCCUUAGAUGUUCCGGGCCGCACACGUGCAACAAUGAUCCAUGCAGUAAGCAUGUCAUCAGGACUGUUACUUUAUCUUUAUGUUAAAGUUCAGCAAGCCUGCUUCGAAAGUAAGUAGGCAAUCAAUUCGAAGUAUGGAUUUCCACCUGCAUAUUUCUCUUCUAUCAUUCUAUGAUAAAGAGGUGCAUUUAACGAAUUCAUGGUGGGGACAGACCAUUGUUAAUUGUUGGUCUCGUUUUCAACUAGGAAUGCCUUGUACGGGUCUUGGUUCAACAAACCACCCGGAAUAUGUCCCUGCCCUUUGUACACACCGCCCGUC